UAAUCCUUUCUAUAUAAUUACAUUUUUUAAUCACUGUGUAAUUUAUGUUACUCCUCAUUUUACUCUUAUCUUGGAUAUCUCAUUUAAAAAAGUUACCCUUUCAUUAAAAUUAUUGCUGCAAUUGUUUUAAGUCACUUGUUGCUUAUUAAUUACGUGGCUUUUGAAAUUUCACCUUAAAUGCCCAAAAUAGUCAUUAAUACACUGAUGAUUGCCUAAAGAUACAAAAUUACUAUCAAAAAAAUCAGAGGACGUUAACAAUGCCACGUUAGUUUACAAAUUUUAUUUAAAUGGUACGCGUUCUUUUGUCGUAAUUAUUAGUUCAAAAACGUCAGUCGUGGCAGAAGAUGUCGAAUUCACUUGCUGCAUUUUAAAUUCGGGUCUGUAAAGUGCUGUGAGAUUUCGUUGCACGAACAAUUGAUCGACUGCGUUUGCCGUGAAUUUUCCGCUGGCGGUUUCGACGGCAUGGCGCGGAACUCGUCUCCGCAGUGCAGUGUUGCCAGGUUUCGACACUCCGGGUCCCGCGUCGGAAGGCGACGUCGUAUGCCAGCCUCCCGGGUGAGAAUGGUCACUGAGCCACGGGGGAGGAACUCUUGGCCGGGGAGACUGAAACCUAGUUUCUGAGGUAGUUCCGGGCCCACCCGCUAGAUGGUAGCUUUCGCGAUACAUUACUAACACAGCUGUAUUGAUCGCGAGAAGUAAUGCAUCAGCCAUUACCGGCCAAACAAAACCAGUAAGAUUUAAUUCACUUUGUUUUGGUAGCCGCAAGUUUUGUGGUAUGGCAUACCAGGAAUGCUGCAUCUCCUUUCAUUUACAUCGAAAAUGACAUUUUUUUACAAAACAGUAUUACGUGUUUUUUUUUGACGUGACAACGUCUAAUAAAUCGAUGAACUCCAGCUGCACGCACGAAAAAGGAUGACUCAUUGUCCCGUUACGUUUUGUCCCGUUACGCUCAUUGUACGCUUGCGCCGCAUCUAUCUCUCUUACACUCGAUUGGAACAACCAUCGAUUUGACUUUGUCGAGGCACAUUAAACUUGAAACACUCCCAUUCGUUUCCUACUUUUCCUAUCAUCGUCCUAUCCUUAACAGAAUAACACAGAUUGGAAGAAGUUAAAUAGCAAACAAGUAUAAAAGUUAUAGUUAAAAUAAUCUCUUCGUUAAAGUAAUAAACAUAUUUGAAUCAAUGAGUGCAACAUAAAAGUAAAUUUAUCAAUUAAAUUGUAGAUUUCAUUUCACUCCUUCUUUGUAUCCAUACAAAAUAGUGAUAAUUCAAUAAAAAAUGAUUCGAUUUUAAUUCAUAAAAGUAUGCAAUCAUUUCAUCAAUGUUUUUUUUUAUGACGUCACGUUAAAGUAUCGUCCGUAAACCGACUUUACAGACAACCAAUUUUUUUUUCCUUGACAGUUUUGAUCUCUUUUAUUAAGCAGUUAGUCGCCUAGAAGUUCAGGUUUGAACCUUCCACCCGUGUGUUUUUCUCAGUAGUGGUCAUGGGCCCAGACGACAGAUAGCGUGACAUGUGGAGACUUGCGCACGCGGCGAGGGCAGAGGCUAUCGGCAGGUCGCGCCGACGAGCUGGGAAGAGGCGGAUAAAGGGGCGAGGGCCCGCCGUCCAGGCGACAGACAGACGACGGACGGACGGAAGAUGAACCGUAAGGCGCUGCUGGCGUGCUGCUGCGCGCUGCUGCUGGUGCUGGCGCUGGCGGACGCCUCGUCGGACAGCACGCACUCGUCGGACGGCACCGGCUCCACCGAGUCGCGCGACAGCUCGGACACGGAUUCGCACUCGCGCCGCGGCCGCGGCAGGCGGUACAGGGACCUGCGGGCGGAGCUCAGCGGCAGCUGAGGACAUCCCCUCACGCACACCCAGGAUUGAAGCCUUGGCCUCUUGGAUAUAAUGUCGUGUGGAGCUUGUGAGUGUGUACCCCAUGAAGUUAAUACUCUGGACUAAGACGUUUGUUCAUGUGUACGAUCAAGUCGUGGACGUAUGUGAUUUCUGAUGUAAAUGUCUCUGGUUGAAAUACAUUCCGUUCCCUAAACAAUGAAA